rnacentral:snRNA from 1 species
GUGUUGGAACAUAUACUAAAAUCAUAAUAAUACAGCGAAGAUUAGCAUGGCCCCUAUGUAAGAAUUUGCUAACCAUUCCUUAAAUUU